GACGAACGCUGGCGGCGUGCCUAACACAUGCAAGUCGAGCGGGGUUGAAGCGAGAGGUAACUCGAACUUCUACCUAGCGGCGGACGGGUGAGUAACGCGUGGGCAACCUGCCUCAAGGUCUGGGAUAACAGCCCGAAAGGGCUGCUAAUACCGGGUAUGCUUGUGGCCUCGCAUGGGGCUAUGAGCAAAGGGGAAACCCGCCUUGAGAUGGGCCCGCGUCCCAUCAGCUAGUUGGUGAGGUAACAGCUCACCAAGGCGACGACGGGUAGCCGGCCUGAGAGGGUGACCGGCCACACUGGGACUGAGACACGGCCCAGACUCCUACGGGGGGCAGCAGUGGGGGAUCUUGCACAAUGGGCGAAAGCCUGAUGUAGCGACGCCGCGUGAGCGAAGAAGGCCUUCGGUUGUAAGCUCUGUCUGGAGGGACGGAAGGAAGUGACGGUACCUCCGGAGGAAGCCACGGCUAACUACGUGCCAGCAGCGCGGUAACAGUAACUCGUA
rnacentral:rRNA from 1 species